CCUACGGGUGGCAGCAGUGAGGAAUAUUGGUCAAUGGGCGAGAGCCUGAACCAGCCAAGUCGCGUGAAGGAUGACGGCCCUACGGGUUGUAAACUUCUUUUGUCAGGGAGCAAUUGGGUCCACGCGUGGGCUUAGCGAGAGUACCUGAAGAAAAAGCAUCGGCUAACUCCGUGCCAGCAGCCGCGGUAAUACGGAGGAUGCGAGCGUUAUCCGGAUUUAGUGGGUUUAAGGGGUGCGUAGGCGGAAUAUCAAGUCAGCGGGAAAAAUUCGGGGCUCAACCCCGUCGUGCCGUUGAAACUGGUGUUCUUGAGUGGGCGAGAAGUAUGCGGAAUGCGUGGUGUAGCGGUGAAAUGCAUAGAUAUCACGCAGAACUCCGAUUGCGAAGGCAGCAUUCCGGCGCCCAACUGACGCUGAAGCACGAAAGCGUGGGUAUCGAACAGGAUUAGAUACCCCUGUAGUC
rnacentral:rRNA from 1 species